rnacentral:lncRNA from 1 species
GGCACUGCUGAGAAGCACCUGAGGUUCCUUCAGACAGCUGGCGGGCCUUACACUCUUGGCCCCGUAGGCCAGGACAGACAGACAGGUGGGCCCAGAAAGGACCUGGAGCCAUUGACUCAAGUCCGAGUGGCUGCAAGCCGCUGCUGGACAGAACCAGAGAGAAUGGGAAACAUGCCACCAACUUUUAUAGUUACAUGUCAGGUGCAGGGACACGUCCUGAGCAAUGUCCUGUUAGGUGAUUUUGUCACUGUACCAACCUAGAGUGUGCUUACACAAGCCUACGACAGCCACAGGUCACUGGGCAGUAUUACCUUGUGGGUCCACUGUUGUGUUACGUGGUCCAUCAUCGGCCCAAACGUCCUUGUGGCGUGGGACAGCGUUUACACGGCUGCUUUCCAGACUGAGGUGCCCCCUUUGGCCCUUGGUCCUCCUCUGACCGUCUUAAUGGCCCCAAGUUGGCGUUACAGGGGAGCUCUUAGGAAGAGGGGUAUGUCUGUCCAGAAGCUGGCAGGGCCAUGACGGUUUUGUCUCUGUUUGCGACAGAGGCUGAGUGGCUGUCAUCCUUUUCCCACCAGCCCCCUUCGCCAGAGUUGGGGGACAGCCAGGAGUUUUGUGGUUAAAUAAUUUUUUGACCUUCAGCUAUAGGACAUCGGUGCCGUGUUAAGUACUUCAGAAGACCUGGGAGAUAAGAAAUCUGACCUCCUUUUCUAGAUGAAACCCAGACUGAGCGAAGAGCUAAGGAAAAUAUAGAAGCUUGACUACAAGAGGCCUAGGCUGGGUCUAGCAGCCCGUAACAAAUGCUUUUGGUUUUCUUUAUAACAAGGGAAAUUCCUUCACCUCAGGCUCGGAGGAAGUUGAGAGGUCUAGCAUGACUUAACACACGUUUUAAGAGUGAAUUAUCUUUGGGGGUAACUUAGGGACAAACAUCCCUGGAGGCUGCCCCGUCCUCCUCUGCCCCCUUCCCCAGCCUGCCCCUCGUCCUCCCACAUCCUCCCCUUCUCCCUCCACCCAGUGGGGGCCCCGAUGAGCGGCAGUGUGUGGAGAGCAGGAGACUGAUACGGACACACCUCUGCUCUCUUUCUUCUUUCUUUCCUUUUGCAGUGCUGGGGAUCGAGCCCAGGCUCUAAUGCCAUUGAGCCACACCCCCCAGGCCUUCUCUAUUUUUUAGGACCUUCCUGAGGAGGCCAGUCCACCUCGUUUGCUUUAGGAUGAAGGCUUUUGGGUUGCUGUCGAGACUAUAAUGGUGAUUUUAGCCCGUGGCUUAUUGCACACAACUUAUUAUAUUUAAGGCAUGGGGGGGUCUCCUGUGAGCAAGGUUCCUAUCACCCACUGUGGUGGCUGUGCAUGCUUCACUGACCUAUGGGGACAGAGUCACUGGCUGCUCUGUUCCCUAGAAGAACGGACAAGCUGCCAGGUGCACACCUAUAAUCCCAGUGGUUUGGGAAGCCGAGGCAGGCGGAUUGAGAGUUCAAAGCCAGCCUCGGCAACUUAGUGAGGCCCUGACCAACUCAGCAAGACCUGUCUCUAAAUAAAAUGCAGAAAAGGGCUGAGGGUGUGGCUCAGUGGUUGAGUGUCCCCGAUUCAGUCCCUGGUACCAAAAAAAAAGAAGGGACAGGCCAAGCCUCCAAACGGACAGAAAUUCCUGGCCUACCCUCCAAGUCCGCUCCGUGGGGUGGGACACGCGGGAGGGAGGUGUCUUUGGGAAGAGCAGAGAGGUGGCCCGGCUUGGCUUCUCAUGUCUGACUGCCUUCCGCCAAGGUUUAAGUUCCAGGUUGUCAUCAGUGGCCGCGAGUUCCCCCCGGCGGAAGCUGGCAGCAAGAAGGUGGCCAAGCAGGAUGCAGCUCUGAAAGCCAUGACGAUCCUACUGCGGGAGGCCAAAGCCAAGGACAGUGGGAAGCCAGAGGACUUGUCCUGCUGUUCCCCAGAAAAAGAGCCAGAGGAGGUAGGGACCUGCCCAAGGUGGGUCUCGUCUCUCAGGUCUCAAGGGGUAGCAUCUUAACUGGCCCCUGGAAGCGAUCCUGGUCUAAAAGCCCUGGUCUCUAGUCCCAAGACAGCUUCCCGCCUCCUCUGCCCACCUCCAACCCGCUUUCCUCUCCUUCCCAGCCCCCCUCCUGCCCCCUUGAGCCUAGCUGGAGGUGCAGAACGUCAAGCCUGGAAGAGGCUGAAGCAGUACGGUGCUCCGUCUCCACUUUGGGCAGAUAGCUUACUCUCUCCUGCCAUGCCCGGGAAGGCCACCCUUAACACUGACGGAUCCGAGAGUCCCCGUCCGUCCCUUCUGCGGAGGCGGAGCAGCCGGCCUGGUCUCAGUUCCUCGUGCUUUAUUCUGUCUUCUCGUCUCACUUUCUCCAGACAGCGGAGCCCCAGCCCACCGCCACCUCAACGUCGUCCCUGUUUUCUGGGAAGAGCCCCGUCACUACCUUGCUGGAGUGUAUGCACAAACUGGGCAACUCCUGUGAAUUCCGGCUCCUGUCCAAAGAAGGCCCUGCCCAUGACCCCAAGUACGUCCGGGGAGGGACGGUGUCUCCAAGAGGCUUUCUCAGAGACAGGCUCGUCUUCCUCUUCAGAGACGGCAGCUUAUUGUCUCUGAGCAGUUUCUUCUGCUGCAUGUGGAAGGGCCUUCAGGACCUGGUUGCUGCUUGGAAAGCAGAGAAGCUGGAAUCGGGAGUCCAGAGGGACCAAGGGCAAGGAGGGGUUGGUAGCGUGGGGGUCACUGUUGGUGGGACAGAAAGGUCCAGGGCCUUGGUGGGCCUGAGCAGCUCUCUGAGGGUCUGUGGACUCACAUAUCCGAGAGAAGGGCUCUGGAGGAGGGGAAAGUUUUGCAUGUUGAAAGUGGGGAGCCAGGCUGAGAGACCCGGGCAGCAGGUGGGCGAGGGGCAGCGGCUAUGCAAGGCAGAAGUGACUAUAGAAGGUGAUGUGCACAAGAAGUCGCAUGUAGUAGAGAACGUUAGCAAGUUGGGCCGGUCUCUGCAAUCACAACCUUCCUCCCUCUGGUCAGGUUCCAGUACUGUGUGGCGGUGGGAGCCCAAACCUUCCCUACCGUGAGUGCUCCCAGCAAGAAAGUGGCAAAGCAGAUGGCCGCAGAGGAGGCCAUGAAGGCCCUGCACGAGGAGGCCACCAACUCGGUUGAUGACCAGGUGGGCGUUUCUCCUGCUGAAACACCGUGGGGCGAUCUAGCAACGGAGCAGGUCAGGGUGGCCCACGUUUCUUUGAAUGUUCAUGGCUCCUUUUUGUUUGGCUGAUUCUCCUUUAGUCUGGAGGUGCCAACUCAGAAUCACUUGACAACCUGGACUCUGGGAUGCCCAACAGGAUCAGGAGGAUCGGUGAGCUCGUCAGAUACCUGAACACCAACCCCGUGGGCGGCUUGUUAGAGUACGCCCGCUCCCAUGGCUUUGCUGCUGAGUUCAAGUUGGUGGACCAGUCUGGACCCCCUCAUGAGCCCAAGUGAGUGUUCCAGACCCAGCUCCUGCUGGGUGUCAUCAGGUAGGGGUGGUGUGUCGUCCAGGGAAAGAAAGGAUGUGCGCCGCUGUGAAGGACAGGGAAGGCAGGUGAUGAAACAAGCCAACCCUCUCUCCACAGCCUCUUGGAUGAAGUUAGUCUUCCAUCUUGAGGAUACAGUGAGCAUUUUAUAUAUAUAUAUAUAUUUACUUUUAAAUAUAUAUUAAAUAUAUAUUAUAUAAAUAUAUAUUAAAUAUAUAUUAAAUAUAUAUUAUAUUUUAAAUAUAUAUAUAUAUAUAUUUACUUUUUUUAUUUCUGAAAGAAAAAAAAAAAAAUAUAUAUAUAUAUAUAUAUAUAAAAUCAUUCAAACUGACCAAAUAAGUCUAUAGCGAAAAGUCUUAUUUCUAUCCCAGACUUCUCUCCUAAGAUCCUCAUACUAUCAACUUGAAUUUCCUUCUGGAAAUUUCUAUGCAUAACUAGCACAGUUUCCUUUCUUUUUUUCUUUUUUUUUAAACAAGAAUAAGCAUAGAGCAUGCUUUCUGUUCAACACCUUGUGCCAGUGUGUCUCAGAUAGUGUCUCAGGUAAAUACAGAUCAGAAUAUACAGCUCUACCAAGGUCUCUUGCACAGCUGAAUGAUAUUUCAUUGACUAAAUACUUGCAAUUUUAAAAUUACUUAUUAAAUAAGAGAUAUGACAGACCUUUUCUAAAAUAGAUACUGAUGCACCACCACCUAGUUUAAGAAAAUAAAAUGUUGCUAGUACUUGGGAACACGCCACCCCAACUUGGCAUAAUUUGUUUAACCCACUUCCAGUGACAUUUAGGUUGCUUUGGUCACACUAUUAGAAACACUCCAGUUGAAUUUCCUCAUACUGUAUGCUUUUGCUUUCAUUAGCAAAACUGUCAGUAGUAAUUUUUUUUAAUAUUUAUUUUUUAGUUAUAGGUGGACACAAUAUCUUUAUUUUAUUUUUAUGUGGGGCUGAGGAUUGAACCCGGUGCCUCAUGCAUGGUAGGCGAGCGCUCUACCUCUGAGCCACAACCCCAGCCCCUAUCAGUAGUAAAUUUUUAGGAGUGAAAUUUUGGGGCCAUAAGCAAUAUGUUUUUUUAAGGUUUAAAAAUUUUUGUAUAGGUAAUAGACUACUCAAAAAUUUUUUUAAAAUUCAGAAAAAUAUAAGAAGUUCAUUCUCAGUCUCCCUUGGGCCUAGCUGUCAUCUCCUAUCCACAACCCCCAUCAACAUUUAAUGAUUUUGCAUUAUAAUAUGUCUCUCUUGAGUGUGUUUGUGUAAAUACAGGCAAGUGCAUCUCCCCUGUUGGUUUCAUAUAAGCAUUGAUCUAUAACUUGAUCUUAUACAACAAUAUAAUAGCAUUCUAUAACCCUGUAUUCUUUGAAUAAUGCUGCAAAGUGUAUUGUUAGAGUGCACGUGAUUUAGUUAACCAGCUCCUCUUGGAGAACACUUGGGUUGUUUCCAGAAUUCUGCUGUUAUGAACAAUAGUAUAGCCUGUUUAUGAGCAUUCGAAAUUUUAAUAUGUAAAUUUAUGUAAACGAGUGAUUUUCCUCCAAUGAGAUCACACCAUCUUAUGCUUUUACCAACAAUAUGUAAGAAUGGCUCUUCCCCAGCUCCACCCAGGCUAAUAUGAUAUAAUCAAAAUUGUUAUCUUUGGGGGGCUGGGGAUGUGGCUCAGGGGCAGAGCACUUGCCUAGCACCUGUGAGGCACUGAGUUCGAUCCUCAGCACCACACAAAAAUAAACAAAUAAACUAAGGCAUGCUGUCUAUCUACAACUAUAAAAAACAUUUUUUAAAAAUCUCAUCUUUGCCAUUCUAAAAUGGAAAAAAAAACAGUAUUUUGCUGUAUUGCAAAGAUUAAUCUGUUAGGAUAUUUAUUAUUACUAUUUACCAUAUUAAUGGAUCACAGGAGAGAAACCACAUAAUUAUCUCCAGAGAUUCUGAAAAGGCAUGUAUAAAACUCAGCAUCCAUUCAGAUUAACAAAACAAGCUGUCAGUAAAAUUAAAAUGAUUGAAUACCUCCUUACCAUGAUAAAAAAUACAUUUGAAGUCAAAAGCCAGCAGCUUAUUUAACGAUGAACCUAGAACUGUUCCCAUUGAAGUCAGGAGGGAGACAUAGUUGUCAGUGUCAUCAUUAUGAGGCAUUAUUCUGGAAUUCUAGCCAAUGCCAGUCAAGAGAAAGAAAUAGUGUACAUGCCAGGCGUGUGGUGCACACCUGUAAUCCCAGGGACUCAGGAGGCUGCACUGGGAUCCUCCUGUCUCAGUCUCCUGAGUCUCGGGAUACAGACGUGUGCCACCAUACCCAUGAUUGAUAGAACUCUUAAGCACGUACUGUUCAUGUACUCAGUACAACUUUAAGGCCAGCCUCAGCAACUUAACAAGUCCUAAGCAACUUAGUGAGACCCUAUCUCAAAAUAGCAAAAACUAAAAGAGCUGCAGAUAUAGCUGGUGGUAAAGCACCCCUGGGUUCAAUUCCAAGUACCAAAAACAAAGAAGAAAGAAAACCAAAUAUACAAAGAAGAAAGAGGUAGUUAGUUAAUCAUUAUUUGCAGAUGACUUGAUUGUAUACCUGGAAUAUUUACCUGAAAACCAAGGAAAUGCAUAGGCAGAGAAUUGAGAAAAGUCGGAAAUCGCAGUGAAAUGCGUAAGAAUCCAGAGCUUGCCUGUGGGCUGGGCUGUGGCUCAGUGGAGGAGCGCUCGCCUAGCACUGGGUUCCAUCCUCAGCACCACAUGAAAAAUAAAUAUAUAAACAAAUAAAAUGAUUUUUAAAAAGAGCUUAUCUGUAUGCAGGAAUAAGCAAUUGGGAAAUGCAGUGGAAGAAAUUACCCUAUUACAACAGCAACUAAAAAGAUGAACUACCAGGCUGGGGUAUAGCUCAGUUGGUAGAGUGCUUGCCUUGCACGCACAAGGCCCUGGGUUCAAUCCCCAGCACCACAGGAAAAAAAAAAAAAAAGAUAAACUACCUAGGCACAGUCCUAAUAGGAACUAUGUAGGAACAAUGUUAAGUAAAACGGUAAUCAAAGAUAUGAAGGAAGACUUGAUUAAAUGGGAGGAAGAAUCUGUUAUUAGACAGUAAAGGUUUUUGUGUUUUGGUUUUUUGUGGUCUGGGGAUCAACUGAGAACCUCACAUGUGCUAGGUAUAUAUUCUACCACUGAGCUACACCCCAGGCCAAGUAUUUUAAAGAUAGCAGCUGUCCCCAGAUUAAUCUUCACACUUAAUAUGGUCCCAAUAAAAAUAUCAACAGAAUUUAUUUUGGAAGUAGAAAACUUGAUUCUGAAUUUCAUAUGAAAAACAAAUACAUAAAAAUAGCUAGGAAAUUCAGAGAAAAAAGGACUGAUCCUACCAGAUUUUUUUUUUUAAGAAUUUAACCUUUAUUUUAUUUAUUUGUUUGUUUAUUUAUUUAUUUAUUUAAUAUUUAUUUUUUUAGUUUUUGGCAGACACAACAUCUUUGUUUGUAUGUGGUGCUGAGGAUCGAACCUGGGCUGCACGCAUGCCAGGCGAGCGCACUACCGCUUGAGCCACAUCCCCAGCCCCUACCAGAUUUUUUUACCUGCUGCCAAGGGUUGAACCCAGUGCCUCACCCGCAACAGGCAAGCGCUCUACAACCCCAGCCCCUACCAGAUUUUAAAACAGUGAUGUGAUGUACAUAGCUAGAAAGGUGCUUCCGGGGAUCAGACGGGAGCACCCAAAAGGUCGAAAACCAUAUGAAUGGUAUUUUUGUAUGUUGUAAACAUAAGGCUCCAAAUGAGUGGGGAAAUGGUGGUAGUGGGGCUGCCAGCUCUCCAUCCUGAAAACAAAACCAGAGCUGUUUGUCUGCCCCCUUCCCGACUCCCAGACCCCUACAGAUCCAAGGUUUAAAUGUAAAAUAAAUGAAAUCUGAUCACUAGAUAAAAGGAGGGAUAUUUCUAGAAUCUUCAAGCAGCAAAGCCUUUCCAAUCAAAGACACAAAACGUAAAGUCAUCAGGUAAAAAGCCCAGAAAUGUUAAUAGUAAGAAAAAAAUGGUGCGUAGUCAAAAGACCACCUGAGAAAAACACCACAGUGCCCAGCAGCCCGAGGCUAAUUUCUUUGAUACGUGAAGGGUUCUACAGAAAUCCCAAUGGAAAACCUUAGGAGAAAACUAAAGUAUUGGGCUGGGGAUGUGGCUCAAGCGGUAGCGCGCUCACCUGGCAUGCGUGCGGCCCGGGUUCGAUUCUCAGCACCACAUACAAACAAAGAUGUUGUGUCCGCCAAAUACUAAAAAAUAAAUGUUGAAAUUCUCUCUCUCUCUACCUCUCUCUCACUCUCUCUUUAUAAAAAAAAAAAAAAAAAAAAAAAACUAAAGUAUGUGAGCUGUACAUUCAUAGAAAAGGAAAUACAGUGAAUUGCCAGGUGGUGGCACACCUGUAGCCUGUAAUCCCAGCAGCUCAGGAGGCUGAGGCAGGAGGAUCACAGGUUCAAAGCCAGCCUCAGCAACUUAGUGAGGCCUUAACCAACUCAGUGAGACCCUGUCUCAAAAUAAAAAUGGCCGGGAAUACAUCUCGGUGGUAAAGUGCCCCGGGUUCAGUCCCUGGUACCAAAAGAAAAAGGAAAAGAAGUACAAUGAAUUGUCAGUAAACAGAAAGGUACACGACCUCAUUUUGUAAAUUAAAUUGACGCUUUGACAGCAUACCUACAAAACAGCGGUGCAGUUAGCCUGUGCAUUACAGCUGAGUGUGAGAACAGUGCCUCCAGCCCAGACACACAGUGCACGGCGUUUGUNACCCUCUCUCCACAGCCUCUUGGAUGAAGUUAGUCUUCCAUCUUGAGGAUACAGUUUCUCUUCAGUGACAGUGAGCAUUAUAUAUAUAUUUACUUUUUUUAUUUCUGAAAGAAAAAAAUAUAUAUAUAUAUAUAUAAAAUCAUUCAAACUGACCAAAUAAGUCUAUAGUGAAAAGUCUUAUUUCUAUCCCAGACUUCUCUCCUAAGAUCCUCAUACUAUCAACUUGAAUUUCCUUCUGGAAAUUUCUAUGCAUAACUAGCACAGUUUCCUUUCUUUUUUUCUUUUUUUUUAAACAAGAAUAAGCAUAGAGCAUGCUUUCUGUUCAACACCUUGUGCCAGUGUGUCUCAGAUAGUGUCUCAGGUAAAUACAGAUCAGAAUAUACAGCUCUACCAAGGUCUCUUGCACAGCUGAAUGAUAUUUCAUUGACUAAAUACUUGCAAUUUUAAAAUUACUUAUUAAAUAAGAGAUAUGACAGACCUUUUCUAAAAUAGAUACUGAUGCACCACCACCUAGUUUAAGAAAAUAAAAUGUUGCUAGUACUUGGGAACACACCACCCCAACUUGGCAUAAUUUGUUUAACCCACUUCCAGUGACAUUUAGGUUGCUUUGGUCACACUAUUAGAAACACUCCAGUUGAAUUUCCUCAUACUGUAUGCUUUUGCUUUCAUUAGCAAAACUGUCAGUAGUAAUUUUUUUAAUAUUUAUUUUUUAGUUAUAGGUGGACACAAUAUCUUUAUUUUAUUUUUAUGUGGGGCUGAGGAUUGAACCCGGUGCCUCAUGCAUGGUAGGCGAGCGCUCUACCUCUGAGCCACAACCCCAGCCCCUGUCAGUAGUAAAUUUUUAGGAGUGAAAUUUUGGGGCCAUAAACAAUAUGUUUUUUUAAGGUUUAAAAAUUUUUGUAUAGGUAAUAGACUACUCAAAAAUUUUUUUAAAAUUCAGAAAAAUAUAAGAAGUUCAUUCUCAGUCUCCCUUGGGCCUAGCUGUCAUCUCCUAUCCACAACCCCCAUCAACAUUUAAUGAUUUUGCAUUAUAAUAUGUCUCUCUUGAGUGUGUUUGUGUAAAUACAGGCAAGUGCAUCUCCCCUGUUGGUUUCAUAUAAGCAUUGAUCUAUAACUUGAUCUUAUACAACAAUAUAAUAGCAUUCUAUAACCCUGUAUUCUUUGAAUAAUGCUGCAAAGUGUAUUGUUAGAGUGCACGUGAUUUAGUUAACCAGCUCCUCUUGGAGAACACUUGGGUUGUUUCCAGAAUUCUGCUGUUAUGAACAAUAGUAUAGCCUGUUUAUGAGCAUUCGAAAUUUUAAUAUGUAAAUUUAUGUAAACGAGUGAUUUUCCUCCAGUGAGAUCACACCAUCUUAUGCUUUUACCAACAAUAUGUAAGAAUGGCUCUUCCCCAGCUCCACCCAGGCUAAUAUGAUAUAAUCAAAAUUGUUAUCUUUGGGGGGCUGGGGAUGUGGCUCAGGGGCAGAGCACUUGCCUAGCACCUGUGAGGCACUGAGUUCGAUCCUCAGCACCACACAAAAAUAAACAAAUAAACUAAGGCAUGCUGUCUAUCUACAACUAUAAAAAACAUUUUUUAAAAAUCUCAUCUUUGCCAUUCUAAAAUGGAAAAAAAAACAGUAUUUUGCUGUAUUGCAAAGAUUAAUCUGUUAGGAUAUUUAUUAUUACUAUUUACCAUAUUAAUGGAUCACAGGAGAGAAACCACAUAAUUAUCUCCAGAGAUUCUGAAAAGGCAUGUAUAAAACUCAGCAUCCAUUCAGAUUAACAAAACAAGCUGUCAGUAAAAUUAAAAUGAUUGAAUACCUCCUUACCAUGAUAAAAAAUACAUUUGAAGUCAAAAGCCAGCAGCUUAUUUAACGAUGAACCUAGAACUGUUCCCAUUGAAGUCAGGAGGGAGACAUAGUUGUCAGUGUCAUCAUUAUGAGGCAUUAUUCUGGAAUUCUAGCCAAUGCCAGUCAAGAGAAAGAAAUAGUGUACAUGCCAGGCGUGUGGUGCACACCUGUAAUCCCAGGGACUCAGGAGGCUGCACUGGGAUCCUCCUGUCUCAGUCUCCUGAGUCUCGGGAUACAGACGUGUGCCACCAUACCCAUGAUUGAUAGAACUCUUAAGCACGUACUGUUCAUGUACUCAGUACAACUUUAAGGCCAGCCUCAGCAACUUAACAAGUCCUAAGCAACUUAGUGAGACCCUAUCUCAAAAUAGCAAAAACUAAAAGAGCUGCAGAUAUAGCUGGUGGUAAAGCACCCCUGGGUUCAAUUCCAAGUACCAAAAACAAAGAAGAAAGAAAACCAAAUAUACAAAGAAGAAAGAGGUAGUUAGUUAAUCAUUAUUUGCAGAUGACUUGAUUGUAUACCUGGAAUAUUUACCUGAAAACCAAGGAAAUGCAUAGGCAGAGAAUUGAGAAAAGUCGGAAAUCGCAGUGAAAUGCGUAAGAAUCCAGAGCUUGCCUGUGGGCUGGGCUGUGGCUCAGUGGAGGAGCGCUCGCCUAGCACUGGGUUCCAUCCUCAGCACCACAUGAAAAAUAAAUAUAUAAACAAAUAAAAUGAUUUUUAAAAAGAGCUUAUCUGUAUGCAGGAAUAAGCAAUUGGGAAAUGCAGUGGAAGAAAUUACCCUAUUACAACAGCAGCUAAAAAGAUGAACUACCAGGCUGGGGUAUAGCUCAGUUGGUAGAGUGCUUGCCUUGCACACACAAGGCCCUGGGUUCAAUCCCCAGCACCACAGGAAAAAAAAAAAAAGAUAAACUACCUAGGCACAGUCCUAAUAGGAACUAUGUAGGAACAAUGUUAAGUAAAACGGUAAUCAAAGAUAUGAAGGAAGACUUGAUUAAAUGGGAGGAAGAAUCUGUUAUUAGACAGUAAAGGUUUUUGUGUUUUGGUUUUUUGUGGUCUGGGGAUCAACUGAGAACCUCACAUGUGCUAGGUAUAUAUUCUACCACUGAGCUACACCCCAGGCCAAGUAUUUUAAAGAUAGCAGCUGUCCCCAGAUUAAUCUUCACACUUAAUAUGGUCCCAAUAAAAAUAUCAACAGAAUUUAUUUUGGAAGUAGAAAACUUGAUUCUGAAUUUCAUAUGAAAAACAAAUACAUAAAAAUAGCUAGGAAAUUCAGAGAAAAAAGGACUGAUCCUACCAGAUUUUUUUUUUUAAGAAUUUAACCUUUAUUUUAUUUAUUUGUUUGUUUAUUUAUUUAUUUAUUUAAUAUUUAUUUUUUUAGUUUUUGGCAGACACAACAUCUUUGUUUGUAUGUGGUGCUGAGGAUCGAACCUGGGCUGCACGCAUGCCAGGCGAGCGCACUACCGCUUGAGCCACAUCCCCAGCCCCUACCAGAUUUUUUUACCUGCUGCCAAGGGUUGAACCCAGUGCCUCACCCGCAACAGGCAAGCGCUCUACAACCCCAGCCCCUACCAGAUUUUAAAACAGUGAUGUGAUGUACAUAGCUAGAAAGGUGCUUCCGGGGAUCAGACGGGAGCACCCAAAAGGUCGAAAACCAUAUGAAUGGUAUUUUUGUAUGUUGUAAACAUAAGGCUCCAAAUGAGUGGGGAAAUGGUGGUAGUGGGGCUGCCAGCUCUCCAUCCUGAAAACAAAACCAGAGCUGUUUGUCUGCCCCCUUCCCGACUCCCAGACCCCUACAGAUCCAAGGUUUAAAUGUAAAAUAAAUGAAAUCUGAUCACUAGAUAAAAGGAGGGAUAUUUCUAGAAUCUUCAAGCAGCAAAGCCUUUCCAAUCAAAGACACAAAACAUAAAGUCAUCAGGUAAAAAGCCCAGAAAUGUUAAUAGUAAGAAAAAAAUGGUGCGUAGUCAAAAGACCACCUGAGAAAAACACCACAGUGCCCAGCAGCCCGAGGCUAAUUUCUUUGAUACGUGAAGGGUUCUACAGAAAUCCCAAUGGAAAACCUUAGGAGAAAACUAAAGUAUGUGAGCUGUACAUUCAUAGAAAAGGAAAUACAGUGAAUUGCCAGGUGGUGGCACACCUGUAGCCUGUAAUCCCAGCAGCUCAGGAGGCUGAGGCAGGAGGAUCACAGGUUCAAAGCCAGCCUCAGCAACUUAGUGAGGCCUUAACCAACUCAGUGAGACCCUGUCUCAAAAUAAAAAGGGCCGGGAAUACGUCUCGGUGGUAAAGUGCCCCAGGUUCAGUCCCUGGUACCAAAAGAAAAAGGAAAAGAAGUACAAUGAAUUGUCAGUAAACAGAAAGGUACACGACCUCAUUUUGUAAAUUAAAUUGACGCUUUGACAGCAUACCUACAAAACAGCGGUGCAGUUAGCCUGUGCAUUACAGCUGAGUGUGAGAACAGUGCCUCCAGCCCAGACACACAGUGCACGGCGUUUGUGCAGAGGUCUUCAUGCAGCAUUGUUCACAGCAGCAAGAGGCUGGACGUGGUCUCAAGCACCAUCAUUUGCACACUGGUUAAGUCAGCCGUGGUGCAUCUCCACUAAAGAGUACUAAACAACCUUGUAAAGCACAGCGUGUCUGUGUGAGACCAUCUCUGAAACCUGUGCGCAGAGGGGAAGGCACUGUGGAUGGCAGGGGAGAGACAUAGUGUGUGUGUGUGUGUGUGUGUGUGUGUGUACACGCGCAGAGUAUUUUCUGGAAGGAUUACGACAGUCUGGUAGCUGGUAAUGCACUGCAUCUGGGGAAGGAAGGACACAUUUCAUUGUAUUCUCUGAGUGGUUGGAAUUUUUACUGGUGUGGUAUCUAACUUUUCAAAUAAAAAAAAAGCCAUUGGGCUGAGGUUGUAGCUCAAUAGUAGAGAGAGCUCUCCCUUGCACACGUGAGGCCCUGGGUUGGAUCCUCAGCACCACAGAAAAAUAAGUAAAUAAAGUAAAGGUAUUGUGUCCACCUCCAAUGAAAAAUAAAUAUGUUAAAAACAUCAAGGAGAAAAGCUCAUGAAAAUGGCACCUUGUUAUACAUUUUGUUUUUAGAGUAACAACAUUCAUUUAUUAGUGUUUACAUGUGAUUUGCAUUUACUUUUAUGUGAAAUACCUUUUCUGUCCUUAUCCAGUUUUCUUUUGGAUCAUUACUCUUCAUUAGCAAGUUAGAGCUUUUAACAUAAUAAGAAACCUUAACCCUUGACCAGCGUAACCCAACAGAGCCCUCAGGCUAGGAGGGCAGCAACGGCUCUCCACUGCCCCCUUGUGGCAGGAUGCAUUGCCCACUGGGCAAUGAACCUUCUGGAAGGGAAGAUCAGCCUCCCUCCUGCUCUUUACUGGUUCAUAUCCUUCAGUCUGAAUAAACCCCCAGAGCCUCCCACCCCACUUCUGGGGAUUGAACCCAGGGGCACUCUACCACUGAGCCACAUCCCCAGCACUGUUUAUUUUUUUAUUUUGAGACAAGGUCUCACUGAAUUGCUGAGGCUGGCCUCAAACUUGUGAUCUUCUGCCUCAGCCUCUUGAGUCACUAGAAUUAUAGUGUACAGCACCAUGCCCAGCAGAACUCAUUUCCUUUAAAUUCAUUCCUUUAAUUUCUUUAUGUAAUAGGUUCAGUGUUUUUCCUUCUUUUUUUUUCCCCUCAACCACUGAGCCACAUCCCUAGCCCUUUAUUAUUAUUAUUAUUAUUAUUAUUAUUAUUAUUAUUAUUAUUAUUAUUAUUUUCUUAUUUAGAGACAGGGUCUCACUGAGUUGCUCAGGGCCUCCCUAAGUUUCUGAGGCUGGCUUUGCACUUGUGAUCCUCCUGCCUCAGCCUCCUGAGACACUGGGAUUACAUGCAUGCACUACCGUGCCCUGCUUUUCCUCUUUAUCUUCUAUGAAAUCCUUUCUGAAACUCCGUGGCUCAUUCAUUCAAAACACAAGGACUUAUUAUCAACUAAAUUGAGAAUGUGAAGAAUUGCUGCCCCAAGUGUGCAGGAUGUGUGACCGUAACACAGAGUUGGAAUGUGCCGUAUGGAGGGACAUGCAGUGUGCCAUGGGGACACAGGAUAUUGCUGCCAGCUCCUCCUGGGAAAUCAAGGCAGGUGGCUUAUAGGACAGGAAACGCUAAUGUAGUAGCCACGUUUUCUCAGCGUCUCAUGCAGUAAUAUACUUUGCUUCCUUCUCAUAUGAAUUGAGCUGGGUCCUCCGUUUCCUUUCUCUCUUGAUGACCUCAGCCAGCUGCUCGUAUCUAAAUGCCAUAGAGCACUACACACACACCUCUAGCCCAGACCUUCUCACACCCCAGAUUCCUCCAUCCAGCUGUUCACGUGUCCCUUCGACUUGGAUUGGCCUCCCCGACAUGACAUGUUCAAAGCACAGAUCUUGAUUUUUGCUUUCUUAACCUCCUUCCCUCCAGCCUUUCCCAUCUUACUAAAUAUCAGGUGUUUCCCGUCUUAGUGAAUAUCAAUCCAGCUGUUCAAGCCAAAAACCCAAGGAUCACCUUUUCCUCUGUGCCCUUCACCUCCUUCAACCAAAUUAUCCUUUGACUUCUAUCCCAAGUCUCCUGCUCUUCUUCCUACCUCUAGUGUAGCAUUCUCUCACCUGGAUCACAUCUGGUCUCUCUGCGGUAUUCACUCAACACAUACCUACAGAGGUCCUUCUGCUAGAAUAGGAGCCAGAUGGUGACCAGCAGUCACCUAAGUAGAAGUAUGAGAUCUUGUGUCUCCUAGGGGUCACAGAGAGCUGGAGUUCAGAGGGCAGUGAGGAUCUGUGGAGGUAGGACUAGAUUUAGGGAGCGGGAUGGCCCCCAAAGAAAUGAUCCCUGAGCUGAGACCCUAAGGGUAACCCAGAAGAAGGUUCUAGGCAAAGGCUACGGUACAGUUGGCUUUCCGUAUCCACAGGUUCUGCACGCGUCUGUUCAACCAAGUGUGGAAUGAAAUGUUUUUAAAUCUGCUGAUUAUGUAAUUCGAGUCUGUCUCUGUACUAACCACAGCCAGACUUCCACUUCCUGCCGCCCUCCCUGCACCGGGCAGUGUAGCACCUGCUCCCACAGCGCUUACACUGUGUCAGCUGGGGUAGGUGACCUGGGAGGACACCCAGGGACUUGAGCAGCCUCAGAUCUCGGUUCUGCAGAGGUCCUGGGGCAGUGCCCCGUGGACACUGGAGGUGGCUGUCCUCAGCCGUCCUGUGGUAGGAGGAGACAGGGGGGAGGCCCGUGUGGACGAGGACAGAGGCCCUCUGAGGCCCCUAGGGCUGGCCUUGAGGUCAGUGCCCUUACCACAGGAGCCCUGGAGGGCCACUGCAGGUCUCGAGGGUCACUUUUUCUGUCCCACACUUUGGCCUGCUUUCCCAGCUUUUGUCUACCAGAUUUCCUGUCCCACUCUGAGAGGACCACUUGGGACCUUUGCCUCUGAUUCCCACCAACACCCCGGUCCUCGCUCUGAACUGAUACUCUUACAUCCCACGUCAGGAAACCACGGUCGUCAUGUAAGAGAGGCCGGUCUUAAUCCCCUGACCUCCCUCCCUCCUCCGAACCUCACUCUACCCCUAGGCACAAGGGAAGCGCCUUCCGCCUCCCCUUGAGUCCUGCGUGCCCUCCCUCUUGUCUGUUCUGGGGCUUCCUGCUUCUCCCCUCGUCAUCGGUGGUCCUUGCCAUCAGCCUGGAAACACGGCCGACCUGUGGACACCUUCCCUUGACCUGGGUCUCCCUCCAGGAACACCCUGGGUCUCCGCUCCUUCACAGCCAAGCCUCUCAGGACAGUCACCCAUGCUAAAAAGGCUGACCACCAGCCACAUGAGGUUAUUGAGCACUUAAAUGUGCCAGCUUGAUCAAGGGACUGAAUUAUUAUAUUUAAUUUUGAUUAAUAGCCUCGUGUGGCUACCAUAGUGGAUAGCCAAUUCCAAAGGAUUCAAAUUACAUAAUUAACAAACUCAGUCAUUCUCAUAUGUGUGCGUGCGCAUAAUACAUGUACAUAUAUGUAUAUAUACACGUGUGCAUGUAUGUAUGCAGGUGUCACACAUAUAAAACUGUGUCUAAGAGUUCGUAUUUUUAGAAGUAGUUGGACACAAUACCUUUAUUUUAUUAAUUUAUUUUUAUGUGGUGCUGAGGAUCGAACCCAGUGCCUCACACAUGCUAGGCAAGUGCUCUACCACCGAUCCACAGCCCCAGCCCGAGUUCAUAUUCUUUUCAAAGGCAGAACAGUCAUGAGAUCCUCCUGGACCCCUGGCAGUUCGUUCCCUACUCCCCAACCUCUCUUCAUGCCUCAGUCUCUCUCAUUCUGAACUUGGCCCGCCGGCCAGGAGGGACCAGCUGCUUAGGACAACCAAAGAAGAGUGGGACUCUCCGUGUGCUUGGACAUGGAGACCAGUUUCUUCUACAGCUGGAGCCGAUGCAUCCAGAACCGCAGCCUCUGUGCUGCCCAGUUCUGUUUCCAAGCGGUGGAUUCAGAUCUGGUUGAAAGCUGGGGUCUUGACACUUGUCUGCUGGGUUUCCCGGCUGCUCUGCUCUGUCAUGCCCUCCCUCUGGGAUUGCAGAAAUCCCCAGGAAGGGUGGGGGCCACUGCCUGCUGGGCUCGUGCCUCCUCUAUCAUCGGAGCCCAGGGCCCAGCCCAGGUCCACGUCCCUGCCCCACUGUUCAUCUUGGGCCCAGCAGAAAUCCACAGAUGACUCCCCAAGAAAGCUUGGCUCCCCAGCCUAAUGCUGUGCUUGUGGAUAUGCUCUCUCCAGGCUGACCCUUGUGAGGUGGUCAGGAACGGAGGGGACACUGGGAUUGGGUACUUUAAAAUCAGACAGUGUUAAGUAAGUGAUUCAAGUGGGGAGAGAGAUCUUGGCUUCUCAUUUCUGCUUAAGAAGAAAGUCUAAAUUCCGUGUUAGUAGUUCUUUAAACCCUCUUAUUACUCCCUAAUCUUCCUUUCUAGUAAAGGCAGGCUGGCUGGAGUCUUUGCAGAUAAUAGUACAGUAUCUAGUCGGAAUUAGUCUUAUGAUUUUAUCACAUUCGGCUUUAUAGCCACCUUCAAUUUAUGGCAAAUGGCACCGGUGUUCCCUUUGAGCACUGUGAAAUUUCCUUUUUAAGUGUGUCGAGCACAAUGGCACACGUAAUCCCAUCCACUCAGGAGGCUGAGGCGAAAGGAUCACAAGUUCAAAGCCAGCCUGGGCAGCUUAGCUGAAAGUAAAAAGUUGAAGAGUCUAGGAUAUAGCUCAGUGGUGGAGUGGCCCUGGGUUCGAUCCCCAGUACCACCAGCACCCCCCCCCAACAACAACAAAAAAAAAAGUAUGUGUAUUUUUUUUUAAUAUUUAUUUUUUAGGUGCAGAUCGACACAACACAAUGCCUUUAUUUUUUAAUGUGGUGCUGAGGCUCGAACCCAGGUCCCGCCCGUGCUAGGCGAGUGCUGUAUCGCUGAGCCACAGUCGCAGCCCCUAAAAGUUAACAUCUUUAUAUAUAUAUAAACAAUGUGUGUGCAUUUUUAAAGAAUCAGUGUAGAGAAAACACUCAUGGUCCUCCACGGGACAUCUGGAGCUAGCAAAAGUCAUGUUGCGAUUCAUGAAUGACCAAACUCCGGGAAAUGCUGCCUUAGUAACAUCUGUCAGAAUGGACGGGUCCGGAUGUCUGCUAGGCGGGCCACGCUGAAAGCCAGCCCAGCCCUUUCUGCAACAGCGUCCAAGUCUUGGUUUGUCUGUGUCCCGCUUCUCGCUUCUCGUCCCAAAGGUUCAUUUACCAAGCGAAAGUCGGGGGCCGCUGGUUUCCAGCCGUCUGCGCGCACAGCAAGAAGCAAGGCAAGCAGGAAGCAGCCGAUGCGGCCCUCCGCGUCCUGAUUGGGGAGAGCGAGAAGGCAGAGCGCAUGGGUUUCACAGAGGUAACCCCAGUGACAGGGGCCAGUCUCAGAAGAACUAUGCUCCUCCUCUCCAGGUCCCCAGAAGCGCAGCCAAAGACAGUUAAGACGUCUACUUUUGGUGCUAUCUUUUUGUUUUGGGGGUGGAGCUGGCUUGUCACUAGCUGUCAUGUGAAUUGUCCCUUGGCUAUGCUACUAGCCUCAAUAGAGCAUAUAACUGGGACACUAGAUGUGAAAGGGGAAAGAAAGGUGGUGCACGAGUCCAUUAGCACGUGACCCCCUGCCCACUGUGAAGCAUGGUGGACGCGGGCGUGGCUGCAUGACCCUCACAGCCCCCUGUCCCCACAGCUUCCUCUCACUGGCAGUACCUUCCACGACCAGAUAGCGAUGCUGAGCCACCGGUGCUUCAACACCCUCACAAACAGUUUCCAGCCCUCCCUGCUCGGCCGCAAAAUCCUAGCCGCCAUCAUUAUGAAGAAAGACCCUGAGGACAUGGGUGUCGUGGUCAGCUUGGGGACAGGUGAGAGAGGGUCUCCCCAGCCACCAGCCUCUCAGUGACUGGAAGCAGGUCUUCCUCACCCUCCCCUGAGUCCAUGUGAGCAAGUCCAAGCCCGGGGACCAGGCCGCGCGUCCCCUUGUCCUGACAUGGAUCUUAAAAAGCUCUGGAUUUUGGCCAGGUGCCAGGGUGCCUUUAAUGCCACCCACUCAGGAGGCUGCGGCAGGGUGAUGGAGAAUUCAGAGCCAGCUCAGCAACUGAGCAAGACCUAAGCAACAGCAAGACCCUGCCUCUCAAAAAAUACUGCCGAGGGCUGGGCAUGUGGCUCAGGGGCUAAGUGCCCACGGGUUCAAUCCCCAGUACACCCCCUCAAAAAAAAGCUUUGCAUUUUGGAACACUUCAGAUUUCCACAUUAGGGAUGCUCAACUAGCAGACUCCAUGCAAAUAUUCCAAAAUCUGAACAACUCCAGACUCUGAAACACUGUGGUCCUGAGCACUUGGGUAAAGGACACUCACCUGCGUGUCAUUUAGCUGCAGUCAGCUCAGGGUGGGGGUGGACUCCUUCUCCCUAGGUAAGAGGAUGACUGUCCAGGCUGUUCUCCGCGAGCCUGAAGACAGACUGCCCCACCCACUUCACCCUCCUUCUCCUUUGACUUUUCCCUUUUUCUCCCAAUCCUUCAGGGAAUCGCUGUGUCAAAGGAGACUCCCUCAGCCUCAAGGGAGAGACCGUCAACGACUGUCAUGCGGAGAUCAUCUCCCGAAGAGGCUUCAUCAGGUGAGCGAGCACCUGCCGGGGCUGCCCCCGCCCACCUGGGCACAGUGGCUCCGGCACAGGCCUUCCUGACACCCCGGCAGACGGCAGGUCCCUGAGCCAGCAGUGGUGGCCUUCGGGUUUAUCCUGUGAUCUGAGCCCUCGUAGAGCCAGUCCCCUCUGUGACCCUCUGCCUCCCACCCCCAGCCUGGUCCUAAGACCUUUUUUCUGCCAACUCUGCUGUCUUCUGUUUCUCAAAACAAAGUGACCCUGGGUCCUCGGGCCUUGGGGAUGAGGCGGCCUCCAUCUCCAUUUGAGGACCCAUCAGCACCUCGUGUCGCCGCGGCUUCUCCUCUGGUUCACCUUUUCUCUAAUUUGUGAAGGGAGCGGGGAAGAGGCAGCUGCCUCCCGAAGCCUUGAGCCAGUUCCUUCUGCCUGGAGUCCCUGCAGCCGCCACAGCAAGGGGCCUUUGGCGGAAAUGAAACGGACCGAAAGGCUCACUGUGCUUUAUGAAAUGCUGAGGUCUCUCUGGGAAGCUUCCCCACCUGAGAAGCUAGAAGAGCUGCACCAGGAAACUUGUCCCCACUUGGGGCUCAGAUAGGGGUCAGCUCCAAGCACCAUCUGCUCUCGCCAGAAUCCAGCCUGCCGUCCUAACUGCACGUCUUUUACAGGUUCCUUUACAGUGAGUUAAUGAAAUACAACCCCCAGACUGCGAAGGACAGUAUAUUUGAGCUUGCCAGGGGAGGAGAGAAGCUCCAGAUAAAAAAGACUGUUUCGUUCCACCUGUACAUCAGGUCUGUACCCUGCCGGGCUCCCAGGAUGGGCUUCCACCUGCUCUGCCGGCCCCUAAAUCUGACCCCACGCAACAGGCCACACGCUCCACUGAGGUACCAUGAGGUACAUUCCCCAGUGGAGGAUGACUGUCCUAGACACAGCUGCCCCCUCCAGCAUCCCCUGGUGGGCUCCAGGAAACAUCCCAGCUCCAGCCGCAGCAGACUAGGGACCCCGAGAAGUUGGAGUUCCCUCCUGCGCAGGUGAGUGACGGACACCCCUGUGUUGCAGCACUGCCCCGUGUGGAGACGGCGCCCUCUUCGACAAGUCCUGCAGUGACCGCGCCCUGGAAAGCACAGAUUCCCGCCACUACCCUGUCUUUGAGAAUCCCAAACAAGGCAAGCUGCGCACCAAGGUGGAGAAUGGUGAGUGCCACACAGGCUCUGCGAGACCCCCGUGUGCGCCACUCGUCACGGGGGAGGACUGUAGGGAGGGGAAGUUCCAUUCUGAAUCUGUUAGCUCAGGUGAUGAGAGCCUGGGGGGGAAGAAAGGACAGAGCGUGUCCUCCUGGGGUCUCCACGGCCGGCACAGGCAGAGUGCGGGGGGAGGGCGGCGGAAGUGAAAAGUCAGGCCCUCCGUCUGGUGGCCUCGGACCUGGCCUCCUGCCCCCUCGCGCCUUCCUGCCUGUCCCCCAGCAUCUCCUUCUCCUCCGGUCACCCCUGCUCCCUUCAUGCUUCAGCAGUCGUCUGCGUCACUGUCAAGCCCAAGUCAGGUCACGUCAGUUCCCUGCUGGCCACCCUGAAGUCUGGACAGCACCACGUGGCCCAGCAGUCCUCCUGGGCUAUCCCCAGGAGAAGUGAAAGCCCAGGUCCACACAGAGCUAGUUCGGGCGCCUUCACAGCAGCCGGGCAGGGGACACGGCCAGCGCCCUCCCCUCCAUGACAGAAAAGUAAAACCGCCACAUCCAUGCGAGGGACUGUCCUUGGCCAUGACAUGAAGUAAGCAUUGACCCAGCUACAGUGAGGUCACCCUGAAAACGUCAUGCUAAGCGCAAAAAGCCCCAAAAGAUCACGUGGUGUGACUCCAUUUCUAUGAAAUAUCCAGAAUAAAUGAGUUCUACAGACAGGAAGUGCCUGAGAGGCUGCCCGGAUGAGGGACGGAGGGAGGUGGGAGUGAGAGCCAGCCGAGGUCGGGUUGGGGUUGAUCGUGCCGAUGUAUAAUCCCAUGGUGCAUAACCUCAGAAACGCCAAAAACCACUGAACAGCUUGCUUUCAAUGGCGAGUUGUAGUAUACGACUUGUAUCUCAGUAAAGCUGGUAUUUUUUAAAAAAACGCAAGCACCAUGUAGGGUCUCCCACUGCCCUUGAUACGAAGGCAACCUGAGCCAGGCACAGUGGCCCAGGCCUGCAAUCCCAGCAGCUCCGGAGGCUGAGGCAGGAGGAUCACGAGUUCAAAGCCAGCCUUAGCGAGGCCCAGAGCAACUCAGCAAGACCCUGUCUGUACUGAAAGCCCACCUCCCGGCCUCAGCCUGCCCAGUCUUCUCUUUGGUGAUUCUCUGGUGCCCCCGAAACACCGAAACCCUCGCUGCCUCAGGCCGUGGCUUCUGCCGCUCGCUCCCUGUCUGAAUGGGUUAGGACUCUUCUCCCUCCAGCUGCUCCCUGCCUCCUCCACCCAGGAGCUCGCGGUGCCGUCCCCCCGGCUCUCCCACAGGCCUUCCCCACGCUGUCAGCAUCUGGAGUUCCCACCUGCUCACUGGUGCAUCUGCUUAGUGCUCUCCUUUCCCUUUCUGUCCCUCACCCCUGAACACCGCGGGACAGCACGGACCUCACUGAGGUCUGCUCCCCAGUGUUUCCCAGCUCCCAGCACAGUGACCGCCGUGUCCUCCAGGACUGUGAGCCACAUGGAGAAUGAAGGGCCGAGCUGCCGGUGGCCCGGCCUCAGGAGCUCAAGUCCCGCGCUAGGGGUGGUUUGGUGGCCUCUGUGGAUCUGACCCGAGUCUCUCACACAGGGGAAGGCACCAUCCCUGUGGAGUCCAGUGACAUUGUGCCUACGUGGGAUGGCAUCCGGCUUGGGGAGAGACUCCGCACCAUGUCCUGUAGUGACAAAAUCCUACGCUGGAACGUGCUGGGCCUGCAAGGGGCACUGCUGACCCACUUCCUACACCCUGUGUAUCUCAAAUCUGUCACACUGGGUAAGGGACCUGCCUUGGGAGUUGGAACCCACCUGUCCUUCUCCACCCCAGUCCCAGAAAACUUCAUGCUUCAGUCAACCCACUUUCCACAGUGAGCUCAGCCCCGUCGUCAGCAGGGGGUGCCGGCCUGCACAGGCCGGAGGGUGGCCAGGAGGCCGAGGAGGGGGGCCAGGCCAGUCUCCAAGACGGGUCGGAGAAACGCGGCAGAUGGCAGCAGCAGCAUCUGGUUUUCCUUGUUCUCCUCAGUCCUUGGCCUUACCCGAAACAUUCCGUUUUGUGCUUCAAUAUUUGAUGAUCCUGUGUGUCCUGUGCUGCCACAGUUAGAGGCCCUGCCUGUCAGGGGCUCUCUGUCCUGACAAUUCUGCCUUAUACCUUCCAGCCCCCGGGGGCCUCAGCUUCUCCAUAGCUUUGGUGAACACAGAUGUAUGGGUUUUUGUUUCUGUUUUUACUUUCUUUUUUAUACCCAGGGUACCUUUUCAGCCAAGGACAUCUGACCCGGGCUAUCUGCUGUCGUGUGACAAGAGACGGGAGUGCGUUUGAGGCUGGAUUACGAUACCCCUUUGUUGUCAACCACCCGAAGGUCUGUGCCCCUGUCCUGUUCCCCUUUUCAAGCAUUCCCAUCAGCAGAGCAGAAAUAUGGUCAAGG